ACCAACAGAACAGAGACAUAGAACUCAUUCAAACUGAAUGAACAGCGAUAACCAUGCUGUAUGCAGGUCUCCUCACUGCAGUCUUCUAUCUAACCUUUGACUGCAGUCGUGGUGAUGAAAUUAAUCAACUCAAUGACACGAUUAACUCGAAAGUUAGCAGCGACGUGAGGAUAUUCUGUAAUUACUCCCUGAGCAGUAGCGCUAGCAAUGAAAAUCUGUUCUGGUACAAGCAGACUCCAGGCAGCUCUCCUCGAUAUCUGCUUCAUCGCAUAAAAGGUUCCACUGAUGAAUUCCGAUCAGAUGAAACUGAGGCCAGGUUUUCCAUGUCGAUUCCCUUUAACCCGUAGCGGCAAAAUAGGCAUGGAUGGGACAGGCAGAAAGGAAACUCAACAAGUACAUCAUCUAGUGAACAACCAAACAAUGCGCACAUACCUGCGCUUCAAUAUGAAGGCGGACAAGGACGUGCUUGUAUCAAUACCAAGGGAAUCGAUUCACGUUUAAUCACAGUUACGGAUAUGUCGGAUUCAAAGAGGUUUGCUUUUUGUUCAUUUUAUACACGCUGGGGGGCUUUUGCAUGUGUUUUAUUCAAUAGCCGAUUCUAUUUACAAACAUAUUAGGCUCAGAAAAAAUAUUUCAAAUGUCAGUUUAAAUUUAUGGGAUAUUUUCAUAAAAUUCUCCAGCGUGCUUUUAUCAACAUUGCAGUUGCUUUGGCUUACUCCUUCUUUCUGCUCUUUUUAAAAUAAAUGAAUAAAUACAGAAAUCAACCCUAUCCUGCUUAACCCUCAGCCCUCUACACUGUUAAAAUUACAACACAGUGCGGUUUGAGGUUAAAAUCGACGAAGAAUAUUCUGUUUUGGGUAUCAUUAUUACAAGGGUCUCCAAUAGCAACCACGAGAUUGUGUUCCUCUCAAUCUGCUAUUUUUAUUUAAUUAGAAAUGUCGCAAGCAGACAUAAUA